rnacentral:rRNA from 1 species
GUUCGUCAUUGACGUUACCCGCAGAAUAAGCAUCGGCUAACUCCGUGCCAGCAGCCGCGGUAAUACGGAGGAUGCGAGCGUUAUCCGGAUUUAUUGGGUUUAAAGGGUGCGUAGGCGGUCUAUUAAGUCAGCGGUGAAAGUUUGAGGCUCAACCUUAAAAUUGCCGUUGAAACUGGUUGACUUGAGUAUAUUUGAAGUAGGCGGAAUUCGUGGUGUAGCGGUGAAAUGCAUAGAUAUCACGAAGAACUCCAAUUGCGCAGGCAGCUUACUAAACUAUAACUGACGCUGAGGCACGAAAGCGUGGGUAUCAAACAGGAUUAGAUACCCUGGUAGUCCACGCCGUAAACGAUGAUUACUAGCUGUUUGUGAUAUACAAUAAGCGGCUAAGCGAAAGCGAUAAGUAAUCCACCUGGGGAGUACGCCGGCAACGGUG